AAACCAGGGACAGUCAAGCAUCCCUCUGUGACUCGGCGUUCCUGCCGAGUGUGUCUGCAUUACGGCUCACAGAGGAAGUGUAUUGGAAGCAUCCAUCUGGAUACGUCACUGUACUGAAGUUGCAAAUGAAGCCCACAUUUUGCCAAGCAGCCAUGACUGUACUAUGGCAUCAUCCAUAGCUUUCCUGAGGAGGAGGAACUCGCCCCAUCCCGGCAGCUCAUUGCUACAGACUGAAGGGGUGAAA
ensembl:antisense Gm16325 predicted gene 16325